rnacentral:rRNA from 1 species
UACGUAGGGUGCGAGCGUUAAUCGGAAUUACUGGGCGUAGAGCGUGCGCAGGCUGUUUUGUAAGUCAGAUGUGAAAUCCCUGAGCUCAACUUAGGAACUGCGUUUGAAACUACAAGACUAGAAUAUGUCAGAGGGGGGUAGAAUUCCACGUGUAGCAGUGAAAUGCGUAGAUAUGUGGAGGAAUACCGAUGGCGAAGGCAGCCCCCUGGGUCGACACUGACGCUCAUGCACGAAAGCGUGGGGAGCAAACAGG